ACGCGUGAUGAUUUGUUUUGGAAUCUCGUUCGUCUGAACACCUGUUGAGAAAAAUAACGAUCUGACUGCA